rnacentral:misc_RNA from 1 species
CAAGAAACGAGGUCCCGCGUGCGCUCGCCCCCGCCCGGCCCCGCUCCUUACCCUUGCCUACUGCACCGUUUGUUGCUUCCUGGCGGCGGACUGCCCGCCGCCAGGGACGUUGAUACAACCCUGUAUAGAAGCAUUGAAGCUCUGAGGAAAACGCGAAAUCGUAC